rnacentral:misc_RNA from 1 species
GAUGAAGAACGUAGUGAAAUGCGAUAACUAGUGUGAAUUGCAGAAUUCAGUGAAUCAUCGAAUCUUUGAACGCACAUUGCGCCCGUCAGUAUUCUGGCGGGCAUGCCUGUUCGAGCGUCAUUACGCCCCUCAAGUCCCCUGUGGACUUGGUGUUGGGGAUCGGCGAGGCUGGUUUUCCAGCACAGCCGUCCCUUAAAUUAAUUGGCGGUCUCGCCGUGGCCCUCCUCUGCGCAGUAGUAAAACACUCGCAACAGGAGCCCGGCGCGGUCCACUGCCGUAAAACCCCCCAACUUUUUAUAGUUGACCUCGAAUCAGGUAGGACUACCCGCUGAACUUAAGCAUAUCAAUAAGCGGAGGA